rnacentral:tRNA from 1 species
GUGUCGUUAGCUCAAUUGGUAGAGCACCGGACUUUUAAUCCGGGGGUUUAGGGUUCGAGGCCCUAACGACACACCA